rnacentral:misc_RNA from 1 species
AAGUCGUAACAAGGUUUCCGUAGGUGAACCUGCGGAAGGAUCAUUACAACAAGGCCACGGGCCCCCGGACGCUUCGGCGGAAGAGGGUACCGGCCUGACUUUACACCCACCCUUUGCCUAUGUGUACCUCUAUCGCUUCCUCGGCAGGCUCGCCUGCCGCUAGGAACCACGUAAACCCUUUGCAUUAUACAUCAACACUUCUGAUACAAACCAAAAUUAUUACAACUUUUAACAAUGGAUCUCUUGGUUCUG